CCCUUACCUCCUCUCCCGUCCUGGAGAAGGUUGACAUCAAUAUGGCAGCCAGCACAAGCCCCCCUAAGUGUAGUGCUAUGCCCAUUUUGCAGAUGAACUCCUGUACCUAAUGGCCUUAGGUCCUUGGAUGAGAAGAUACCCCUAGAGGCUAUUUGGUCCAGCCCUCUCCCUUACAACUAGAUGUGCAUGACCAUGAUGGAAGGAAAGGCAUGUCCUGAGUCCUUUGAAGACUGCCACAGGGCAAGAAUUCUCUGGGCAUGGAGUCUCUCCCGUAUACCACAGAGUUUCUUUGUUGCUGAAUCCAUCAGGUUUGCAUGGAAAACAAGCCUUCCUGGUGGAUGUUUUCACAGCUUAUGUGAGAAUUAGCAAAUACCAGAUCUCCACUUACCUGCUUGGAGUUCCCCCCAUCACCACACGAUUCCUUGCAGGUUGGGUAAGCAUCCUUCUUCCCUAGUUUCUCUUCUAAACUCCAAGUGCUCUUUGGGAAGGGGAACCGGCAGUCCUCCCAUUGC
rnacentral:lncRNA from 1 species